UACGGAGGAUCCAAGCGUUGUCCGGAUUUAUUGGGUUUAAAGGGUGCGUAGGCGGAUAUACAAGUCAGUGGUGAAAGCUAACAGCUUAACUGUUAAAUUGCCUUUGAAACUGUAUAUCUUGAGUAUAGUUGAGGUGGGCGGAAUGUAUCAUGUAGCGGUGAAAUGCUUAGAUAUGAUACAGAACUCCGAUUGCGAAGGCAGCUCACUAAGCUAUUACUGACGCUGAGGCACGAAAGCGUGGGUAGCGAAC
rnacentral:rRNA from 1 species